GCAGGGAACAAGUACCCUUUAGAGGUGGGAGGGUCCUCUGUACCGCUCCGCCAGCCAUGACGGGCUUCUCCGCGAAGAAACGUCUGUCCAAGCCCUUGUUGUUUGGGGGGAUCUUCUGUGCCUUGGCGACCGCUUUCGUGUACAGACAUCGUUUUUUCCCUGAGGUAGAGGAGAUCCGUGCCCGGGAGCGCGAGCACUAUGAAAAGAAACGCCAGGAGGUGCUGCUGAGGCGCCAGCAGCAACUGGCUGAGCUGGCGCAGAAGAAAACAGCCUCGUAGUUGGCCCUUGACUGCUGAGGAAAGACAGAGACCUGACUAAAUGUACUAGAUGACUAUUCUCCCAUGCCAUUGGUUCUUAAGGCACGUUUGGGCUUGGACUACUCAGUGGGGUUUGAGCAAGUCCUAUCUUAAUUACCUUGAGAGUUCUUGGGAGAGAGCAUGUCACAUCCAUAAGAAUAAGGACUUGAGUCUGAGGGAACCUAAGAUUACGUAUUGGUUCUUGCAUUGAUUUUGUAUGCAACUUUUAGGAUAUGAUUUAACACAAGUGGUCUUGCCAUGACUCCAAAAAUGUGCCGUGCUUUGGUGAGUCUUGGCUGCCCUAAACAUUUCAUAUAUGAGUUGUGUGGUUUUUUUUUUCUGGUAAUCAUGUAACAGCUGUUUAAAUAUAUCCCUGCUUUCAGAAAAAAAUUCAGAGAUGAACAGUAUUCUUGCUUCCUAUGCAGAAACUCCUAGGCCACUGUUCAGACAAAUGAAUGUCUAUUUCUAGCGUGUGUCUGCUUAAUGACUGAAUGAAACACAAUUGUUUAUUUUGAAACAUGAAUGAAUUCCUGCAGUUGGAUCACAGCUGUAAAAGUGAUUGUGAACAAAAAUGAUGCGCUGAUGCAAAUAUAUUACCCAAAUUCUUUGUAAUUGUUUAGUGUGAAGUUUUGAGUCAAUUCUACAUCUAUCUAUACUCUGUUCUACUGAGUUCAGUGUAGCUUACUUCUAGGUAACUGGGUAUAACUUUGCAGCCUAAGCAGUCCGCUGAGACAGUCAGUAAUUUCUGAGUGGUCUGCAAGGUGGAUGAGAUAUGAGAACUGCUGUCCUCAAAUUUCCAUUUCAAAAGCUUGGACAAUAAAUUGUAGACACAAUAAAUUGUGUCUCCCUGCAAGCACCUGUAAUGGUUGCAGCCACUGUCUUCCCAGUACAAAUUAAGGGAGCAACAGCCCCUUACCUUGGUUGAUUUGCUUGUGUGGAACAAGGAAGAGAAUUUGAGCUGGUCAGCCCAGUCCAAAGAGUGUCACCCUUGACGUACCUUUUAAUUAUCUAAGAAUCUCACCUGUUUGUUUGUAGGCUGACAAAAUUUAAGAUUUGAAGUACCUGUACUCAAGAAGCAGUGGGGGGGUAUGAUAAAAAGUUUUUUUUAAGGAAUCUGUAUAAUAAUGUUCUGCCAUUAUCAAAAGUAUUAAAAUAAAGUUCACAAUCUUCCCCUCCACUCUAGGCACUGUAUGUAUAUUUUUUAUAUUCAGGGGAGAUGGUUUACAGUGACACAGAAUCAGUUUGAGAAAUUGAUCUUGGAGCUGCAAAAACAGUAUGUGAUUGGGGGGGGGGAUACUUCUUAAGCCACAAGACCCAGAAAUGGGAUCCUUCCUGGGGGACAGUGUGAAGGAUGAGGUAAGGAAUCAAGUCACGUGAACCAGAGAGGGAACAGUGAUCCAGUUGCAAAGAGGGUGAAUAGCCAUCUCUUUUCUGGAAGGUGAACAAAGAAGCAGUGAGCAGGAGUGGGUAACCUUUGACUUUCCAGGUGUUGCUGAACUACAACUCCUUAUCAGCUCAAGCCUGGCCAAGGAUCAGCAACAUCUGAAGGGCCAAAAGUUCCCCACACCUGAGCAAGAGGUUAUGGUCACUAGAAUCUAACCCAGCCUUUCUUAACCUUGACUCCCCAAAUAUGGCUAAACCACUGAGCCUAGGGCUUGCUGAUCAGAAGGUCGGCAGUUCGAAUCCCUGUGACGGGCUGAGCUCCCGUUGCUUGGUCCCAGCUCCUGCCAACCUAGCAGUUCGAAAGCACGUCAAAAACGCAAGUAGAUAAACAGGAACCGCUACAGCGGGAAGGUAAAUGGCGUUUCCAUGUGCUGCUCUGGUUCGCCAGAAGCGGCUCUGUCAUGCUGGCCACAUGACCUGGAAGCUGUAUGCCAGCUCCCUCGGCCAAUAGUGCGAGAUGAGCGUCACAACCCCAGAGUCGGUCACGACUGGACCUAAUGGUCAGGGGUCCCUUUACCCUUUACCUAUCAUUCCUAGACAGAAUGACCAGUGUUCAGGGAUGAUGGAAUUGUAGAACUGAAGGUACCACCAGUGUCCUAUAGUCCACCCCCUUGCAGUGCAGGAAUCUUUUGCCCCAUGUAGGACUCAAACCCAUGACCCUGAGAUUAAAAUAUAUAAUAAUUUAUUAUUUAUUAUUUAUACCCCACCCCUCUGGCUGGGUUUCGGGCUCUACCUACUGAGCUAUCCAGCAGUGAAGUUGUAGUUCAAGAACACUUGGGGACCCAGGGCUGAGAAAGGCUUGCCCUAAACACUUAGCCAGGAGUAGGUUCCUGUUGAGUAGGUUCCUACUUGUGACCUACUAAUUGGUAGCGUUCGUGGGGUGGAACAGGAAAUGGGCAUAUUUUGGAGAGCUUCCUAGAAGAGGCGGGAGGAGGGAGUGGUCUUUUGUACUGCUCUCAGAGCAAGUUGGGUGAGGAAUACGAUAGGUGUUUGUUAAUUCUGGUUUCUUGGGCAACUAGUUAUAGAUGAGGAAGAAAGUCCUCCUAUGGGUGUGUUUCGGAGCAACCCCACCUUUUCUGCACAGGGGUGACACAUAAGUUUCCCUUUUAUUUCAACAACAGUGAAACUUUUAAUAUUUCUUAAGAAGUAAUGGAACUUUAAUUUAGAAACACAGGCAGCUGCCUUACAGAGGCAGCCCAUUGAUACAUUAGCACAGUAUUGUCUACCCCAGGCAUCCCCAAACUUCGGCCCUCCAGAUGUUUUGGACUACAAUUCCCACCAUCUCUGACCACUGGUCCUGUUAGCUAGGGAUCAUGGGAGUUGUAGGCCAAAACAUCUGGAGGGCUGCAGUUUGGGUAUGCCUGGUCUACCCUGAUAUAAUCCCUAGGUAGUUUAACAAUUGAGAUUUUUCUGUCUCGGUUCCAUGCCAUUUGAGAAACAUGUCUUCUCUAGAAAAUAGUCUGCCUAUAAUGCUUUUUUGGGAGGUGGGGAGGGGAGUAGUAAGCAUGAAAGAAGGUCAUGGAGAAUGGGAGUGUCUUUUUAUUGGCUGGUUUCUCCAGAUUAGCUAGCUUUCAAUGUUGUAUAAUAAAACUAGCUGUGUUUGUGUUCCCUGGAUUCCGAAUUUAAUUAAAACUUAAUUUCUCUGACUUCCUACCCAGAAAGUCUUGAAGAAGCCAGUUCUGCUUCAGGGCUUAGUGACCAAGCAUAACUUGCCUUUCAUAAUGCAACAAGUAUAAAUCUAAGGAAAGAAAUCUUUGUGACUUAUAACCUUUGCCAGACAUUUUAUUUAAAACCUCAGAUUUCCAGCACUAUACUUGUGCUCAUGCAAUAGAGAAAUUACUGGUUUUAAACAAUCUGUCGGAGCAUAGCUGUUGCACUGUCAUUUUUUCCAUAGGAAACCAAAUCAGUCACGUUGACAUCACAUUGAGAGCUAAAGAGAUGUGGUGAUAGUAGUGAUGCAGGGGGGAAGAAUUUAAUGUGAGGUGGAAGGGACACGUCGUAAGUGAAUUUGAAACUAUGACAUCCCCCACCAUUAACACAACCAGUAUUUUAAUGUUACUUUCAGUGCCAUCCUAGGCAUGCCUACCCAGAAGUAAAUUCCAUUGAACUCAAUGUUGCUUGCUUCCAGGUUAAGUGCAUAAAUGACUGCAGUCUCAAGUUAUUAAAUACUAAAUACUAAAUUGCUGUGUUUCCACCAAUUUUGUUAUGAAGCCAGGAAUGGUAAUACUCCUCUUGCCAACUAGGAAACUCAUGCAGCCAUUGCCAACAGGAGCAAAAUGACAGCUGUAAUUGACAAGAAGGAAACGUUUAGAGCUCCUCUAGAAUCAACAUUGAAUUUAGUUCAAAGGUUCCAGAAACAGUCCUACCCUUGUCCCUCCUUCACCAACAUCACGGCCACCAACAUCAACUGCUAUGUGAAACCUUAUUACAGUUUCCCCUUAAUCCAGAGGAAAAUGAUAUGGAGAAAUUACAGGGAAUCUAAAAUACUAAGUUUAAUUUUUUUUAUUGAGAGUUCAUGGACAAAAAAAUGGAUAGAAAAAGCUAAUAUUUGGUCCCUUUUCAAAUGGUGUACUCCGAAAGAAGAAAAAGCAUUCCACAAUUCCUGAAGGAAGCACAAGAGUCGGUGUGCGUUACAGUUCAAAGUCCUUAAACCUGCCUAUUUGCUUUAAUGUUUUCAGCUUUACAAAAGUUACCAAGUGCAUUUGGAUCAAUACAUUAUUAUUAUUAUUAUUA